rnacentral:rRNA from 1 species
UACGUAGGGACCGAGCGUUGUCCGGAAUCAUUGGGCGUAAAGAGCGUGUAGGCGGCUAUUUAAGUCCUGCGUGAAAUCCUGCGGCUCAACCGCAGACGGUCGUGGGAAACUGGAUGGCUAGAGUGCGGGAGAGGAGAGUGGAAUUCCCGGUGUAGCGGUGAAAUGCGCAGAUAUCGGGAAGAACACCCGUGGCGUAGGCGGCUCUCUGGAACGCAACUGACGCUGAGACGCGAAAGCGUGGGGAGCAAACAGG